rnacentral:tRNA from 1 species
UCCCUGGUGGCUCAGUGGUAGAGAAUCCGCCUACAAUGUAGGAAACCCAGGUUCGAUCCCUGGGUGGGGAA